GCAAGUCGAGCGCGCCCUUCGGGGUGAGCGGCGGACGGGUGAGUAACGCGUGGGAACGUGCCCUUUGCUGCGGAAUAGCCACUGGAAACGGUGAGUAAUACCGCAUGAGCCCUUCGGGGGAAAGAUUUAUCGGCAAAGGAUCGGCCCGCGUUGGAUUAGGUAGUUGGUGGGGUAAUGGCCUACCAAGCCGACGAUCCAUAGCUGGUUUUAGAGGAUGAUCAGCCACACUGGGACUGAGACACGGCCCAGACUCCUACGGGAGGCAGCAGUGGGGAAUCUUAGACAAUGGGCGCAAGCCUGAUCUAGCCAUGCCGCGUGAGUGACGAAGGCCCUAGGGUCGUAAAGCUCUUUCGCCUGUGAUGAUAAUGACAGUAGCAGGUAAAGAAACCCCGGCUAACUCCGUGCCGGCAGCCGCGGUAAUACGGAGGGGGUUAGCGUUGUUCGGAAUUACUGGGCGUAAAGCGCGCGUAGGCGGAUUGGAAAGUUGGGGGUGAAAUCCCGGGGCUCAACCCCGGAACUGCCUCCAAAACUUCCAGUCUGGAGUUCGAGAGAGGUGAGUGGAAUUCCGAGUGUAGAGGUGAAAUUCGUAGAUAUUCGGAGGAACACCAGUGGCGAAGGCGGCUCACUGGCUCGAUACUGACGCUGAGGUGCGAAAGUGUGGGGAGCAAACAGGAUUAGAUACCCUGGUAGUCCACACCGUAAACGAUGAAUGCCAGUCGUCGGCAAGCAUGCUUGUCGGUGACACACCUAACGGAUUAAGCAUUCCGCCUGGGGAGUACGGCCGCAAGGUUACAACUCAAAUGAAUUGACGGAA
rnacentral:rRNA from 1 species